UAUCAAAGCUCCCCCAAGAUCAUCAAUCAUGUGAGAAAAUUGAAGUUUAGAGGAGGAGCAACGCUCCGGCCAUCGAUUCCAAUGAAACCCCCCUUCUUCUUUUUUUCUCUUUCUUUCUUUUUUUACUUUUAGCCACAAAACAGAAGCAGGCCAUCUAUCCCUUUUAAUAUUUAGCUCCAUCAGUGCUAACAUGCCUUCGUGGCCGUAUUGAUAGGUCCAACGCAUAAAGUCUCCAUUUGGAGCUCGGUGACAUUUUUUGAUGGUGAAAAUUAAUUAUUCACAGGUUAGGAUUAAGCGCUCAGGGAGAUGGGCUGUGGCUACUGUUGGAGGGUCAACAACUCUCCCAGCAAACAAAAAUACCCAGCCAGUGCUGCAUAUGGAGGGCCGAUUAUACAGACAGCGGAGUUGAGCAACAAAGGAAAAUGAUUUAAUAAAUGAAACCGUGACAACAGUUAUGUUUGUUGGCAUAAAGUGAGGAGGGGUGGGGGAGGAAGAUGGGAUGUGCAGGACUGCAGGCUUUGACAAACGGCUGUAUGUGUGGACAUUUCGACGCGCAAUACCCCGGGAAGGAGCUGCAGAGUUGCGCGCAGAGAGAGCCAGGGCGCUCACCGUCUCCAGGUCUCUGUGUGCGCUCUGUAAACACAGCCGGUCCGGCGCGCCGUGCCGCUUGAAGACUCUGAUUCUCAUAACCUAAAUACUGCCGGUCUCAUUGAUUUCUGUGCUAACGAUUGCAUCUCUUAUUUUUAUUUUAUUUUUUUCAACCACUAUCCCUUUGGAUGACCCAUGGUCCUUCCACGCUUGCAUUGUCGGCUGGUUUCCUCCAAGGAGAUCGCCGGGAAGUCAGCCUGAACGCAGCUGCAUUCACGUGGAGCGACGCGUUUUGAUAUUCAGGUCACACCGGGGAGCAAACACUGCUCUCCUGUUCAAUAAACAACAUUGAUAAGGCUCCACAUCCGGCCAUUUACAAAUACUGACGUUAACACUACCAGCAACCGCAGUUAAUAUUUUUGAAUGCUCAGAUAUGUCAUUUUCAGAUAUAUUAGUUUAUUUAAAGUAAAAUUUCAAAAUGCUUCUAGCUUUGGAGGUGUCCUUCAUGUUGUGUCCACAUUAAAGUCACAGAAAGUUGACUUUUGAGUUGUUCCUCUGUUUAUUUCUACACACUGGCUCAUUAGUAACAUGCCAAUGUCUCCCCUCUCUCUCUCACACACACACACACGCACACACACCCAGGGACUCACUCACCCAACCACAAACACACAGACAUGCACACACGCACACACACGCCUACAUGUAAUCAAAUGACCCAGCCUAAGAGACAAAACCUAUUAAUUUGGAUUAUGUGCACCAUGUCCUCCCUUCCACAUUCAUCUGUGUAACUUUCCCUGUGUGACCUCAUGUUUGCUCUGCUUCACAGCAUGACACAGAAAAACCACUGAGGAAUUCUCUGCUAACACACUCGACUUGCUAAGCAAAACCUCUUACUCACGAUACCUGCAGAAUACAACGCAUGUAAACAAAUGCAUAUAAGUUUUGUUUGUUUUUGUACCCCUGUUUUUUUUUUCCUGCUUAUGUUAUCCAUGUUUCAUCUGAUAUCCAGAUAGCUCUCCCUCUUCCUCCCUCUCCCCCCAAGCGCCUUCAUUCACUCCCUGCUUUCUGGUUCUGCAGGAGUUCACACGUCCGAGCGAGGCUACCCAGGUAAUUACCUGGCAUUGUCAAAUAAAGCGACCACUGAUUCAAAUUAGGAGUGAAAUAUCAAAGAGCAGCGUUGCCUCUGCAGCCAGCACUUAUCCACACAGGAGACACGAGAGGAGAUCUGAGAGCUCUGGGGACCUGCAGGGAGGCGGCAACAAAAACACUCUGCCUUCUCCUUCCUAGAUAAAUAUCACCAAUGAAAGCAACAGAACCCAACAUGCCCAGGUCAAAGGCUGAUAUAUGUGGAUAUGAUCACACUCCAGCAGGGGGGUCAGGACACGUUCUCGCUCUUCCAUUACAGCAUUUCUUCCGUGUUUCUGCAUCAGAUACAAAGAGAGAACUAAAGAGAAGUCAACCACCGGGAUUAGAAGUGAGUAGCGCAUUAAGGUUUGGCAGCAGAAAUGAGCUGCACAACCACACACUCAUUCAUAACGUGCAAUGUUUGUCUUUGAUUUUCCUCCCACUUAAAUCUACAAUCAGCUUCCCAAACCAGCCUGAAUCCUCCUGUUUUUUUUUUUUUUUCUUUCUGCUGCAUCGUAUGGCAUAAUCUAAUACCGUGUGUAAUUUCUUCAUCUUGAUUUCGGUGCUCACCGACAACAGGACCUUUGACACUUUGACACAGCAAGUGGAGGGUGAUCUCGAUGAACAAUGCCACUGCACUUGGAAGGGGGGAAAACAAAGGAAAAGAUUAUUUCUGAUCCCCCUUCAUGUUCAAACUAGACAAGGUGCGUCCAGGGAUUUCACCUCAGCACAAAAUAAGGGGGACGUGUAAUUUGACUUGCCACAUCUCAAUGGAACCUGAACGGGUUACAUUCUGCAACAACAAAUAAAAUGCUUUCCAUGCUUUA